AGUGAACGCUGGCGGUAGGCCUAACACAUGCAAGUCGAACGGCAGCACAGUAAGAGCUUGCUCUUACGGGUGGCGAGUGGCGGACGGGUGAGGAAUACAUCGGAAUCUACUUUUUCGUGGGGGAUAACGUAGGGAAACUUACGCUAAUACCGCAUACGACCUACGGGUGAAAGCAGGGGAUCUUCGGACCUUGCGCGAUUGAAUGAGCCGAUGUCGGAUUAGCUAGUUGGCGGGGUAAAGGCCCACCAAGGCGACGAUCCGUAGCUGGUCUGAGAGGAUGAUCAGCCACACUGGAACUGAGACACGGUCCAGACUCCUACGGGAGGCAGCAGUGGGGAAUAUUGGACAAUGGGCGCAAGCGUGAUCCAGCCAUACCGCGUGGGUGAAGAAGGCCUUCGGGUUGUAAAGCCCUUUUGUUGGGAAAGAAAAGCAGCAGGUUAAUACCCCGCUGUUCGGACGGUACCCAAAGAAUAAGCACCGGCUAACUUCGU
rnacentral:rRNA from 1 species